GCUCCUUUGAUCUAGUGGUUAUGAUGUUUCCCUCGUAAGGAAAAAGUCGCCGGUUCGAACCCGACAAGGAGCU
rfam:Dictyostelium fasciculatum unplaced genomic scaffold Scf_Dfasci-G-o-80e12.f1-5, whole genome shotgun sequence.